GACGGAAGGUGCAAGCGUUGCUCGGAAUCACUGGGCGUAAAGGGUGCGUAGGCGGCCGCGCAAGUCUGGCGUGAAAGCCCCGGGCUCAGCCCGGGAAGGGCGCUCGAAACGGCGCGGCUCGAGUGCCGGAGGGGAGAGUGGAAUUCCUGGUGUAGCGGUGAAAUGCGUAGAUAUCAGGAGGAAUACCGGCGGCGAAAGCGGCAUCCUGGACCAAUUCUGACGCUGAGGAGCGAAAGCCAGGGGAGCAAACGGG
rnacentral:rRNA from 1 species